UGAAAACUCUUAAAUGUCUAUGACAGGAACUGAAGUCUCCUGCCAUUUUCGGAAACAAGGGGCUGAACCCGGAAAAGUUCCUGAAAGCUCAUCUAAAAGUAUAAUAAAUGUCGACUUAUUCA
ensembl:ncRNA F38E9.9 ncRNA